AUGCUACAGUUUACGGAGAUCCUCGGAAGAGUUGAUCAUCAAGGAUUCGCACAAUUGCUUGCUAAUCCGAUUUUCCAAACCAACCGUGUCGGCCAAGAGAACUCGCAGCAAUUCACAGUCCGAAAUGGCGUCGAGCAGGAGCUUUGCGGUAUUUUAGGCGGUUCAGAAGGCGACUGGACACGUCAGACGCACUCAGUUCAGAAGCAGAUGAUGUUUGGGGAGCGUGGCAUCGAACUUCCGAGCCGCCAGCCGAAAAGUCACACCGCCGAGGAUACUCUCACUGAUGAAGGUGUCGUGGACGUGCCUGAAGCUGUAAUGGAUGAUAUUGACGAGGAAGAACUCGACGAGGACAUUUCUCGUGUUAAAGUGGAGACGGAUCGAGCAUUCUUCAACCACAUGCUUCUUUCGAGACCUGCCGCAGUUCCCAUGAAUCCAGCACAGGCUAUGGAACGAGAUAAUCUCCCAUUUGGCGGCGGAAAAUUCGUGAAUAAGAACAUCAGCGAUCGUCGUGAGCUCAUCUUCGGCGACAAGCUUCACAAAUUUCUGAAAAAUCAAGGAAAAAAGAGCCUAGUGGAUCUGAUGAAGGAGGCGAUCGACGAAAGUGGAACCGACGGAGCUCUGGGCGAUGUUUGGAACGAUGUGACGUCUGUUUUGAACCGAAAAACGUCUGCAUCACGAGAUGAUCUCACUACGACGGCGAAUUUGGUGGAGGAUGCGUGCAAAUAUCUUCAAGCCGUCUUCACCGAGCACAUGCAGACUGUUGUUGAACGGAAUUUGGAAGUGGCUGAGCGUGGAGGAAUUCCUGGAACACGUGGAUUGGUUAACGCCUUUUUGAAGGUAGGAACCGAAGAAUCAUUCCAACCAGAAGACGACAGUAUUGAUGGAAUGCCUACAUGGCAAGUGACAUAUCACUGUGUCCGUGCUGGGGACAUGAAAUCCGCUUCUGAAACUCUAAAUCGCCUCAAAUCAUUCCCACAAUGCGCCACACUUGUCGCCGCGUUGAAUCAUGUCGCAAAGCACGGAAAACUGGAUUCUGAGCUGAAAAAGAAGCUGAAAGUCGAGUGGAGACACAAUUUGGCUCAUACAAAAGACAAGUAUAAAGCGAGCAAUAUUUUAUGUCAAAUGGACCAUCGGAAUUUCAAUAUUUUUUCACUGCUCUCUGGCUUUCUGGACAAUUUGAGCGAGCAAUUUAUCUUCUUCACGAGUGCGGACAACGUGUCGACAGUGUCCAUGUGGCGGUUUUGGCGCACAAGUUGGGAUAUUUGAGAAUGUCGAAAAAAUCGACUGAUGAAAUGUUGGUAGUUGAUCAAAACGACUCGACAAAAUGUCAUCUGAAUCUGGCUCGGCUCAUCGUUGCCUACACGAAAAGCUUCGAACUCGUCGAUGUGCCCCGUUCACUGGAUUAUUGGUUUUUGUUGAAGGGAAUUACGACGCCAACCGGGUCAGAUGUAUUCGAAAUGGCUGUUAGUAGAUCAGUCUAUUUAACUGGUCAAACCGAUGAAAUUCUUGGAAAAUUGACGCCAGAUGGUCGAAGAGAAAAGGGAUUAAUUGAUGAAUACCUUGACGAUCCAUCAGAAGUGAUCUGCCGCGUUGCAAGUGACACUGAAAUAACCGGAGAAUGGGAUCAAGCCGUCGGUCUGUAUCUUCUCGCAUCGAAACCAACCAACGCCGCCAUUCUACUAUCAUCAGAGAUUAGUGAAACAUUGAGAACUGAGAAUAAGGAAAAGAUUGCCGAUUUGGUACAUGUUGCCGAACAGUUCAAGAAAGUUCAACGAGGAUGUCAAGCGUCGGAGUAUGCGACAUUGUCUCUAUUGGUUGAUCUUGCCGUUCUUUUUGAUCACUGUCGUAAUGAAGAAGCUGAAAUUGCUUAUGGAAUCUCGACUCACCUCCGUCUCAUUCCAACGGAACCCGAUCAAGUCACCGUUAUUGUCAACGAAUUCCAUAUGGUACCACAGAAAGUUCGUGAAGUUCUUCCCGAUAUGUGCCUUCAUCUUAUGAAGUGUCUUGUCGAUCAUUGCAUUCGUCAAUCGACGACUCAGGCGAAUCGAGGAGCCAAUUCGGCCACUACUUCAAUGUUUUCUUCAUCGAAUCGAUAUGUUAAACAGUUGUCGCCCACCCAACUAUGGGAAUUUCGAAAGAAUCUAAUCAGAUUUUAUACGAUUUUUUUCUUUCUAAUAUUAUAUUAUAUUUAUUCAAAAAAGUUUUGGGCAAAAUUUUGCUCUGCAAUCGGCAAAAAAUCGGCAAUUCGGCAAUUUUGCCCCUGUUUCUAUUUCGUCACAGACUUCUUCUUCUCCAUUGGUCAUUUAACAUACUUGAUUAGUUGUUCAUCGUUUGCAUUUUGUGUGCUCUGGCAGUGCAUCAUACUCAUAAGAUGAUGCAGAUUUCAUAUAUUUAUUGGCAAAAAAAUGUGGAUUUUUCGACUGAAAAGCAACAAAAAAAAAGGCUUUAUUUUUUUUGAAAAAGAACUCGGAAAUGACAGGAAAACUAUUAAUCCACACGUGGUGUCAGGGGGGCUAUCCCAUCACUGUUUGAUCUACAAAAAAUGCGGGAAUUGAUGUGAAAAAAUUCAAAAAUCCAGCAUCACUUUUUUCAAAUGCGCGCCCAAACAAAUUCACACGAUUUCAAGCUUAAAUAUAAAAUCAGGGAAAUUUUUUUGAAUUUUUUCACAUUGAUAUUCGGAAUUAGGGGAAAAUUUGGAGUCAAUUAAAAAUAUUUCCCAGAUUUCGGUGCUCCAUCUUUAAAUUAAAAAAAAAACUAGAUUUCUGGAGGCGAAUUUUCAAAAUUUUCCAAAAAAAAAAAGCCAAUUUUUUGAAAAUUCUAUGAAAAUUCAAUAUCAAAGCAAUUGUGUUGUACUCGGCAACUGUGCCAUACAAAUUUCCAACCCAUGUGACAUCUCGACUUCUUCAAUUGCAAGCCUCUCUUGGCAUUUGA